rnacentral:rRNA from 1 species
GUGGGGAAUAUUGCACAAUGGGCGAAAGCCUGAUGCAGCGACGCCGCGUGAGGGACGACGGCCUUCGGGUUGUAAACCUCUUUCAGCAGGGACGAAGCGAAAGUGACUGUACCUGCAGAAGAAGCACCGGCUAACUACGUGCCAGCAGCCGCGGUAAUACGUAGGGUGCAAGCGUUGUCCGGAUUUAUUGGGCGUAAAGAGCUCGUAGGCGGUUUGUCGCGUCGGAUGUGAAAACCUAUGGCUUAACCAUGGGCCUGCAUUCGAUACGGGCAGACUAGAGUUCGGUAGGGGAGACUGGAACUCCUGGUGUAGCGGUGAAAUGCGCAGAUAUCAGGAAGAACACCGGUGGCGAAGGCGGGUCUCUGGGCCGAUACUGACGCUGAGGAGCGAAAGCGUGGGGAGCAAACAGGAUUAGAUACCCUUGUAGUCC